rnacentral:rRNA from 1 species
GGUCAGCAGGCCGCGGCUGUGCGACAAGGGAGCGGCAAGGCGGAGGUGGAGGUGGAGCUGACGCACGCGAUCGGGCGGGCGUGAAAGGUGCUGGGCCGAACGGAAGCCUCGCUCCCCUCCCUUUGCUACCACCGGUAGCGGCGCGAGCGCCUGCCGUUCUCCGGGCAGCGAGGGAAGGUAGACGAGGAUGGAGGAGAAGUAGAGGAAGAGGGGCAACUUCUUUUAGAAUCCGCUAAAUCAGCUGUAAUUUAUGGACUGCCCAAAUCACUAGAACAACGACACACGUCCACCCGCCCCUAAAGAGUCUGCCCCUUCGGGCCGCGCUUCCGAGGAUUUGGGUAGUUGAACGGCUUGGUCUCCAACCUGUCGGUACCGGAGGCGUCACUGCUCUAACAAGGUUUCCCGUGCUGGUGAACCCCGCCGUUUAGUUACGAGGGUCGUAGUUUACGUACCCGAAGUGGAAACGAAGACUUAGGGUUCUUACUAUCUCGAAGACCAAGUGGAUCGGUGUAACUACUAGCAGGAAGAAGGGCUCCUUCGAGCUGCAGUAGUAGUAGUCAACCUUCACUGAAGGAACUGAAUGGUAGCAUAGCAAACGGUUACCGGCAUUUAAUAGGAGAUUCGUGUCUCUGUUCUAGUCCCUCGAACGUUCAAAGAGUAAAAGGUCUAAGAAAGUCAUUAUAAGAUUUUCGUGGCAACUUUCGACAACCGUCUGCCCGUGGAUGUAGUGUCCCCUUUCCCAAGUCGGAUUCAUACCUACUAAAGGGUCAUGAACCGAGGUCUUUGAGACGCAGUUUGUCAGUUGUUCCCGUUUAAAGUCCUUCCACCGGUUGAUAACGAAGACCAUAACACCGUUGUGUUCUAUUUGUUCCUUUCUUGGGCUAUUGACCUUGACCACUCCAUUAAAACAGAACGUCAAUACUCGUACUUUAAUAGAGUUCUUACCUGAUACAAACGUUUCCUCUGCUAGGAUAAGGACGACGUUUCAAAUAUUCCCCUCGACUCGUCCGAGUUGACGUACUAGGGGUUCAAGGAUUAUAUACAUAUGGAGGAGGUAACAACCUAAUGACCGUAGCAGGAGGACUAGUCGGUGGACUACUUUUACCUUUUAACGUAUCACCUCUCCACGGUAUACCAGGCAUGUUCGUACGACUGGGCUGACCGAAACGACAACUUAGAGAACGAGUAGCACUAGUCAAGUGCGAGUUGCUCCUCCGUGAUCGUUUCGUCCUAUGACCUGUACCACCCAUAAUAGGUCUGUUCUCCCUAUAUAGAGUACGAGUGUACGGACGACUAACAACACAGUAUUUAGUUAGAACGGUACAAGAACCCUUCCAGUUCUUACCGGUACGUCUACAUGAACUCUAGCUCUUCGUUGGAUAGUAGUUCUUCCUACACCGAGAUACUCUCUUUUAGUUCACAGAUUUGUUGUUUCGAUCUUUAAAGGCACGGGAAUUGAACAGGUUAGAUGGAAGUAGAGAUGAGUUCCUGAGGUUCCAAUUUGUGGGUUUUUAGUAGGCACAGCUCCUUCUAGCACACUGUUUUAUACAAGGGAAGUCACGAAGGUGGUCACUCUGACCAGGACGGAAACUGUCCGAAUUAAGACAAAGAGUUUCGUCGUCAAGACACAGUUGAUUAGGUAGUUUACCCGGACUAUUCCCACAUUGACAACAAACAGACAGUCUUUUUGUUCAAUGACUUAAGUCGGUUCGACCUUUUCAACCGUUUAGACGACUAGCGGUACGUAUACCUUCUUCGCUAUAGAGUUCUUUGUACGAACUACCAAGACGAGUCCUGUACGGUAGAGCAUAAUGACCUGUACCUACACUUCUCGUGAGGUACUAACUGAGAAACGCUCCUCAAGAAUACCAUCUACGAGUUGUUCUGGUUGAAGAAAGAUCCUUGUGGAGAGUCGUCGGUGUACACUGUCAGCGACUAUUCCUCGGUUUAACCGAAGUAACACUUCUGGUCGUAAGGUCUUACUCUAUAAACAGACGAGUUCGACGCUUUGUUGAUGUCCUGCGCCUCUUCACCUAAUCAGUUGUUUUAUGUUUACGAUAACGUUUUGACCUUCUUAACUCCUCCAUAGUUAGUUAUGUCUCAGUCUUCAGGUUACUACGUGGGGGUCUGCGUCUAUACAUGACGUUCGGUUUUUGCGCUCUACUACACUGACGAUUUACACGAUCAAGUCACCGUCUAUGUACAACAUAACAGAGACGACUACCAGUAUUACGCGGAGUCGGUCAUCGACCUCAGUUCUAAUCACUUCAAAGAUAACCAAGGUCACGUCGUAGUUUAUGAAGUCCACAAUCAUUUCCAAUAUUAAAGUCCAGAAGUCGGUUCUCGUGUGUCCAAUUGUACUACCUUGUGUAAAGGGAGUUGAGUGACAGUGUACUGUUGUCAUGAGGUCUUGUGACCGGUUACCUCGUGUCCGUUUACGUAAAACCAAGUACCCUCUCUUUAUAUUGUCUAUCCCUCUAUGGACGUCUGUGCUUCCCACGACUUCGAUUUUUAGUACUGCUGGAGAACUGGUCUUUGUUCUCGUCGUCCUCCUUGAAAUUAAGUCAAUCCGGACGUCGCGGUGGACACAAAUUACUCUUCUUAAGAUGUCUUCAGGACUCAUACGUCUUUUGGGUACAAGGUACAUAACGGUAAUUAUCAAGAUAUUAAGGACGGUUCCAAUGAAGACAAUGUCCAGAAUAACACCCAUUAUAUUACGAACUACUACAAGGUGAACGUAGUCAUUUGGCCCUCACCCGUCAUGGCCGGUUCCUUCAUGUACUAUGUCGAUCAUCGGAGAUUCCCGGAGCCGUCCAGUUCUUUAGUCUUUUCUUGGUCGUACCAGAUGACGGACAGCUCUGAGGUUAAAGUUUGCUAUCACAGUACACGUUUGGCUAAUUUGUCCGUCCCUCCUUUCUUCUCGUACGUCUUCCUCCAGGCUUACCAUACCGACAUCAACUACCUGAACGAAACCACCACUUUUUAGAGCGUUUUGGCCGUCUCAUGAAGUUACACCGUCUACAAUAUGUCCUCAGUAGACUGGUCACCGUCGUUCCUCUACACGUUAAACUCAGGUUCCGGGUACCACCAUGGCUUCUGGCAAGUUUUGAUUGACUUUACCACAGGAACGGACUGUUAUGAACCCUUUUCGUAGGCCGCUGACUGUCAGGUUCCGCGAUGGUACAACUCCGGGUUUCCUUACACCCCUAAGCGAUACCAAUGUCCCUCUCCCGUCCGUCCCCUGCGAAGAAGGUGCUUAGUGGUCGAGGCAGAUCCCGAGCGACCUACGGAUUUAUGUAGAGGGUAGGAGUCUCGCUACGUGUUAUACUACCCCAGAGACUUACCGACGUCCUAAGGGUGGUUAAGAAUAUCCUGUACCUGUUGCGUGUCCCUAACCUGUCGUUUGGCUGAGUCUAUCGACUGUCUCUACGACCUUACCUAGACGUCCCACCUCUUCCGUUACAUCCGUACUCGAAGCAUCUACUUUUGGGGAACUAUACCUUGCUUUGUCUCACCCUCAUAGUCGGAGAGAAAGGUCGCGGUGUAGCGGAACCGGUUGUUGUGCCACUGAGCUCACUACUACCAGCUUCCCCAUCUCCGUCUGUGAGACUCAUGGCGGUUGUUGUGCCACUGCGCUCACUACUACCAGUCUCCCCAUCUCCGUCUGUGAGGCUCAUGGUGAUAGGCCUCGGCCAUUCUAGAGCACUAUGACGUGGACUGUAGGUCACCUUGGGGCCGCCACGACUGUUAGUAGUCAUAGGCCGGAUAAGUUCUGGCCCUUACGUGUGCCUCGCGUCCAUGAUAUAAACUUCCAGCGACAACCCAUCGACACGAGGUAUGUUAGUAGUGGUUAGGUCAGGACAUUGGUUAGGGUACUUACAAGCACACUCAACGACUUCGCAUCUAUCGGAAAACAGUCGAGACAAAGAAAGAAAGAAAGAAGAGACCCGAACGCUACUAGAUAAAUGAACAUUCUACGACCAGGACAAAUAGAAUACCUCUGGAAAUAGAACAUUCAAAAUAGACUUCUUAUAAGAUGAAGACUACCGGCUUAAGACGUGCCUAGCGACAAACCCACAGUG